CUGGUAACCAGGCUCCACCACUAGACUUGGUGUGGUUGGGGGGUGUCUAGAAGCUCACCACCUGGGUGAGAGAAAGCAGCAGUGAUGAGAAGGCUGAACUUCUAACCCAGAUGCGCCUCAGUGCGGAAUGCAGCCGGGAAAUCGCAAGGGACCCACAGGAGCGGAUUAUGAAGGACGCAGCCCUCCACCAGUACAGGGGUCCGCCGUCCUUCUCCCAGGACCCAGCCCUGCCAAGUGGCAAACGGCAGCCCCGAGUUCUGCAGAGAGCUGCGUGCUCUGCCCUGGCGAUCAGAAGAUCGGAAGGUGGAACGAACACAGGAGAACAGCGCAGGGAGGAUCCCGACAGGAAACAGGAGGGCUCCAGAGCACCUUCUCCGCGGGCCUCCAAGCAACACGUUACAGGGGAGAGCACCCCUCACCCUGUUACAAGAUGCUCCAAAAACAAACCGCUGAAGACGGGGGCCCAUAAAACACAAAA